GAUCAUGGCUCAGGAUGAACGCUAGCGACAGGCUUAACACAUGCAAGUCGAGGGGCAGCAUAAAAGUAGCAAUACUUGGUGGCGACCGGCGCACGGGUGAGUAACGCGUAUGCAACCUACCUAUCAGGAGGGGAAUAACCCGGCGAAAGUCGGACUAAUACCGCAUAAAACAGGGGCACCGCAUGGUGAUAUUUGUUAAAGAAAUUCGCUGAUAGAUGGGCAUGCGUUCCAUUAGGUAGUUGGUGAGGUAACGGCUCACCAAGCCGACGAUGGAUAGGGGAACUGAGAGGUUGGUCCCCCACACUGGUACUGAGACACGGACCAGACUCCUACGGGAGGCAGCAGUGAGGAAUAUUGGUCAAUGGGCGGGAGCCUGAACCAGCCAAGUCGCGUGAAAGGAAGAAGGAUCUAUGGUUCGUAAACUUCUUUUGCAGGGGAAUAAAGUGCAGGACGUGUCCUGUUUUGUAUGUACCCUGAGAAUAAGGAUCGGCUAACUCCGUGCCAGCAGCCGC
rnacentral:rRNA from 1 species